UCGCCUACGGGGCGCAGCAGUGGGGAAUAUUGCACAAUGGGGGAAACCCUGAUGCAGCGACGCCGCGUGAGUGAAGAAGUAUCUCGGUACGUAAAGCUCUAUCAGCAGGGAAGAAAAUGACGGUACCUGACUAAGAAGCCCCGGCUAACUACGUGCCAGCAGCCGCGGUAAUACGCAGGGGGCAAGCGUUAUCCGGAUUUACUGGGUGUAAAGGGAGCGCAGGCGGUAUGGCAAGUCAGAUGUGAAAACCCAGGGCCCAACCCUGGGACUGCAUUUGAAACUGCCAUACUGGAGUGCCGGAGAGG
rnacentral:rRNA from 1 species